GGGGCCAUGGUGAAAUGGGAUCACAUGACGAUGGCAUCGUUAAGUCCGGGGUUCGAGUCCCCGUGGCUCCA
rnacentral:tRNA from 1 species